ACUGAGACACGGCCCAGAAUCCUACGGGAGGCAGCAGUGGGGAAUAUUGCACAAUGGGCGGAAGCCUGAUGCAGCGACGCCGCGUGAGGGAUGACGGCCUUCGGGUUGUAAACCUCUUUCACCACCGACGAAGCGCGAGUGACGGCAGGUGGGGAAGAAGCACCGGCCAACUACGUGCCAGCAGCCGCGGUAAUAAUUAGGGUGCGAGCGUUGUCCGGAAUU
rnacentral:rRNA from 1 species